rnacentral:rRNA from 1 species
CCUACGGGGUGCAGCAGUGGGGGAUAUUGCACAAUGGGGGAAACCCUGAUGCAGCGACGCCGCGUGGGUGAAGAAGCGCCUCGGCGCGUAAAGCCCUGUCAGCAGGGAAGAAAAUGACGGUACCUGAAGAAGAAGCCCCGGCUAACUACGUGCCAGCAGCCGCGGUAAUACGUAGGGGGCAAGCGUUAUCCGGAUUUACUGGGGGUAAAGGGGGCGCAGACGGCGAUGCAAGCCAGGCGUGAAAGCCCGGGGCCCAACCCCGGGAAUGCUCUUGGAACUGCGUGGCUAGAGUGCAGGAGGGGCAGGCGGAAUUCCUGGUGUAGCGGGGAAAUGCGUAGAUAUCAGGAGGAACACCGGUGGCGAAGGCGGCCUGCUGGACUGCAACUGACGUUGAGGCCCGAAAGCGUGGGGAGCAAACAGGAUUAGAUACCCGAGUAGUC